ACCAAACGCAGUGCGUUUGACGGGCUCUCCGGAUUUCUUGGCUCUUGCAAGUUGCAACGCCAGAAAGCCGCUGAGUCAAAAGCCCUAGCUCCUAAACGCUCUGCGCGCAUCAUACCCAAACGGUGAACCCCUCCCGUCCGGUGUCACCUCGACGGGCCAGUAGCUUCCUCAGUCAAACGUAGCUCAAUCAAAAGCUGAGGCCCUCCCGAGUCACCAAGCUGUGUGGCUUUUGCUGUCUCAAAAAUUGUUAGUCUUUCCGCCCCCAUCUCCUGCAAAUUCUAUUUUCUCUUUACAAAGCUUUGUGUACCUUCACAGCUGAGCCGACUUCUGAUUUUUUUUCCAGCCAUUCCAUUCUCGUUUCUUCCUAUGUGGAUUUUUCAUUAUCAGAUUAUCAUCAAAAUACCAAUCUUCACGUCUCAAUCUAAGCUAUUUCCUUCUCCUUAACCAUACUAUAUAUCCUAGCACGGAGGUGGACAUUCUGUAUUUCAGUCUCCUGUCAUUAGAGAGAGAGAGAGAGAUGGCAGCAUUUUGCCUUUCACAUGCUUCUCGCAGGUUACGGAUUCCUCCAUUCUCGUACUCACUCGCUCGCUCGCUCUUUGAUCCUUCCUCUUUGGCUUCCUUGACAGACCCUAAAUGCUCAGUGCCCCAUUGCAAGCCUCCUGUCCAUCUCAGAACUCUAGAACCCAAAUACCGUUUGAUUGAUGAUUUUAGAUUUACUUAUAGUAAAUAUGACCGUUGUAAUUUGAAUAUAUCCAUUGCAACCAUAUCUACCUCUUCUGGUAUGGCGAAGGGAACCAAUAGUGGUUUGGAUGGGGGUUCAAAGGUCGAGCAGUCAUGGAUCGAUCUGUAUCUUCCUCAGGCAGUACAGCCUUAUGCUCGGCUCGCUCGGUUGGAUAAGCCAAUUGGGACCUGGUUACUUGCCUGGCCAUGUAUGUGGUCAAUUACCUUGGCAGCAUCUCCUGGUAGCCUUCCUGAUAUUAAGAUGUUGUCACUAUUUGGUUGUGGGGCAUUGCUGUUAAGAGGUGCUGGAUGUACAGUGAAUGACCUUCUGGACCACGAUAUUGACUCCAAGGUUGAGCGCACAAAGUUGAGGCCAGUUGCAAGUGGUCUUUUGACACCAUUUCAGGGCCUUAGCUUUCUUGGGUGUCAACUGCUUUUGGGACUUGGGAUUCUCCUUCAACUAAACAAUUAUAGCCGUGUUUUGGGGGCAUCAUCAUUGCUUCUAGUCUUCUCCUAUCCCCUCAUGAAGAGGCUGACAUUUUGGCCUCAAGCAUAUUUAGGUUUAACCUUCAACUGGGGAGCUUUAUUAGGAUGGGCUGCAGUCAAAGGAGAUUUGGAUCCCACUGUUGUCCUUCCACUAUAUGUUUCUGGAGUGUUUUGGACACUUGUAUAUGAUACAAUUUAUGCACAUCAGGAUAAAGAAGAUGAUCUGAAAGUGGGUGUUAAAUCUACAGCCUUGAGGUUUGGGGAUCUGACAAAGAACUGGGUUUCUGGAUUUGGGAUUAUAUGUAUUAAUAGCCUUGCUAUCAGCGGAUUUAAUGCUGACAUCGGUGUGCACUUUCUUCUUCUUCUUUGGACAGGAUGGCCAUUCUAUCCAUUUUUGAUGGCUGCAGCUGGACAAUUGGCAUGGCAAAUCUGGGCAGUUGACCUGUCAAAUCGUGCGGAUUGCAAUCGAAAGUUUGUGUCCAACAAGUGGUUUGGAGCUAUCAUCUUUACUGGGAUCUUGUUUGGAAAGAUGACGUCAUGAUGGGAAUUGGCAUUUACAUAAGGAGUGUGGGGUGCCUAACACCUUCCGUCUGUUCAAAUUCGAAUACCGUGAGUCCUGUCACUCCCUUUUUCUCUUCAAUGAUGGGUGGAGGCUCCAACAAUUAGACAUGCAAUGGGCUACCUUCCGGUGCUCACAAUGUUGUGAGUGAAUUGCUUCGUGAGGAACAACGUCUUCUAACACAAACCACUCUUGAACAGGAGAAAAUGAAUACAACACACAUGGCAUUUUCGGUUCACGGAAAAAGCAAGGGUAAAGAUAUGAGUAAGGUUCAGUGUUUUAGUUGCAAGAAUUAUGGGCAUAUUGCAGCAAAUUGUACCCAGAAAUUUUGCAAUUAUUGCAAAAAGCAUGGGCACAUCAUCAAAGAUGUUUGACUCGCCCUCAAAAUCGUCAAAACACUGCUUUUCAAGCAACAGUUGGCAAUUCUUCUACAGAUCAGAUUCAAACUGGGCCCUCAACUAUGUCAGCAAUCAAUCAAAAUGCUCAAUCUAUUGUUCUUACUCCUGAAAUGGUGCAACAAAUGAUUGUUUUAGCCCUCUUAGCUCUGAGACUCCAAGGAUCAGGAAUCGGGGACGGUGAUCGCGAAGGGGCCUAAAGUCGGACGUUUAUUUCCUCUGCACAUUUCCAUUCCUAGUAAUGUUUCUUUUGCAUGUUCUGCUAUUAGUAAUAAAAAUGAGGUGUGGCAUAAAUGUUUGGAACACCCCAAUUCUACUAUAUUGUCUUACUUGUUGAAUUCUGKUUUAUUAGGCAAUAAUGAUAAAAUUUCAAGCCUUUCGUUUGAUUGUUCAACUUGUAAAUUGGGAAAAAGUAAAAUUCUUCUUUUUCCUCU